rnacentral:lncRNA from 1 species
UAAAGUUUUAUAUAGUUUAUAAGGUACUUAUAUAUAAUAACUACUACUGUGAGAUUCAAUACAAAUAUUUUAAAAUGUUUUAAAUCGUUUUAAAUCGUUUUUAUAAGAUUUAUAAGGUUUUUAAAAGGUUUUUAAAAGGGUUUAUACGGUUUUUAUAAGGUUUUUAUAAGGUUUUUAUAAUUUAUUUUUACGCUAUUUAUGAAAGGUAUAUUAAGUUUUAUACACAUAUAAAGGUAAUUUGUGUAUAUAUUUAUAAGCUUACACAUAUAUUUGGAUAAAUUUCAAUAUUUUUAGUGGGUUUUUUGAUAAAGUUUGAAAAGGGGGUAUUUUUAAAAAGAGGUAUAUGAAAAGGGGUAUUUUUGAAAUUCACCCU